rnacentral:rRNA from 1 species
AUUGAACGCUGGCGGCAUGCCUUACACAUGCAAGUCGAACGGCAGCGGACCUUCGGGUGCCGGCGAGUGGCGAACGGGUGAGUAAUAUAUCGGAACGUACCUUUCAGUGGGGGAUAACGUAGCGAAAGUUACGCUAAUACCGCAUAUUCUGUGAGCAGGAAAGCAGGGGAUCGCAAGACCUUGCGCUGAUUGAGCGGCCGAUAUCAGAUUAGCUAGUUGGUGAGGUAAAGGCUCACCAAGGCGACGAUCUGUAGCGGGUCUGAGAGGAUGAUCCGCCACACUGGAACUGAGACACGGUCCAGACUCCUACGGGAGGCAGCAGUGGGGAAUUUUGGACAAUGGGCGCAAGCCUGAUCCAGCCAUGCCGCGUGAGUGAAGAAGGCCUUGG